GACGAACGCUGGCGGCGUGCUUAACACAUGCAAGUCGAGCGGUAAGGCCCUUUCGGGGGUACACGAGCGGCGAACGGGUGAGUAACACGUGGGUGACCUGCCUUCAGCUCUGGGAUAAGCCUGGGAAACUGGGUCUAAUACUGGAUAUUACUCUGCGGUGCAUGCCGUGGGGUGGAAAGCCUUGUGCGGCUGGGGGAUGGGCCCGCGGCCUAUCAGCUUGUUGGUGGGGUGAUGGCCUACCAAGGCGACGACGGGUAGCCGGCCUGAGAGGGCGACCGGCCACACUGGGACUGAGACACGGCCCAGACUCCUACGGGAGGCAGCAGUGGGGAAUCUUGCGCAAUGGGCGAAAGCCUGACGCAGCGACGCCGCGUGAGGGAUGACGGCCU
rnacentral:rRNA from 1 species